ensembl:ncRNA C15H11.12 ncRNA
AUCGGUCCGAAGUUGAUGGGUUACCAAUUGAAUUCUCUCUGUUCUUUUAAAGAACUACCCAUCCCAUCAACAUCAACUUGAUCGAAAAACAUUUUU